GGUUUCCGUAGGUGAACCUGCGGAAGGAUCAUUACCGAGUGCGGGCCCCUCGGGGCCCAACCUCCCACCCGUGUUGCCCGAACCUAUGUUGCCUCGGCGGGCCCCGCGCCCGCCGACGGCCCCCCUGAACGCUGUCUGAAGUUGCAGUCUGAGACCUAUAACGAAAUUAGUUAAAACUUUCAACAACGGAUCUCUUGGUUCCGGCAUCGAUGAAGAACGCAGCGAAAUGCGAUAACUAAUGUGAAUUGCAGAAUUCAGUGAAUCAUCGAGUCUUUGAACGCACAUUGCGCCCUCUGGUAUUCCGGAGGGCAUGCCUGUCCGAGCGUCAUUGCUGCCCUCAAGCCCGGCUUGUGUGUUGGGCCCCGUCCCCCCCGCCGGGGGGACGGGCCCGAAAGGCAGCGGCGGCACCGCGUCCGGUCCUCGAGCGUAUGGGGCUUCGUCACCCGCUCUAGUAGGCCCGGCCGGCGCCAGCCGACCCCCAACCUUUAAUUAUCUCAGGUUGACCUCGGAUCAGGUAGGGAUACCCG
rnacentral:rRNA from 1 species